GAUGAACGCUGGCGGCGUGCCUAAUACAUGCAAGUCGAGCGAACGGACGAGAAGCUUGCUUCUCUGAUGUUAGCGGCGGACGGGUGAGUAACACGUGGAUAACCUACCUAUAAGACUGGGAUAACUUCGGGAAACCGUAGCUAAUACCGGAUAAUAUUUUGAACCGCAUGGUUCAAAAGUGAAAGACGGUCUUGCUGUCACUUAUAGAUGGAUCCGCGCUGCAUUAGCUAGCUGGUAAGGUAACGGCUUACCAAGGCAACGAUGCAUAGCCGACCUGAGAGGGUGAUCGGCCACACUGGAACUGAGACACGGUCCAGACUCCUACGGGAGGCAGCAGUAGGGAAUCUUCCGCAAUGGGCGAAAGCCUGACGGAGCAACGCCGCGUGAGUGAUGAAGGUCUUCGGAUCGUAAAACUCUGUUAUUAGGGAAGAAUAUAUGUGUAAGUAACUGUGCACAUCUUGACGGUACCUAAUCAGAAAGCCACGGCUAACUACGUG
rnacentral:rRNA from 1 species